rnacentral:lncRNA from 1 species
CUACACCGAUGGAUCAAUAGAAGGUUUAGUUCUCCAUAAAAAUGGAGCAGCCGCUUUUCUGUUCUACAGUGUGUGAAUACAGACUCCGCAGCCCUAGCUGCAUUUUCUAGUUUAAAUAUUAUGGGCUUCAAAAGUUCCGGGCCGAAAACAUAAGUUUGGGUCGAAAAUAAAUUAAGUUAUCACGUUUGGAACAUAAACGCA